rnacentral:rRNA from 1 species
GGUGAUAGUGUGCCUAUUGAAGAAUGAGCCGGCGAGUUUAUAUCUACUGCUUUAAAUUAAUCCGCGAGAGCGGAGAAGUUGAAGGGAAACCGAGUGUGAAAAGCGCGUAUUGAGUUUUUUGGUUCAUCAUGUUUCUAGAGUGAUGAACCAAAAUUCUCAGAGUGGUAGAUAUAAGACCCGAAGCCAGACGAGCUUACCAUGGCUAGGGUGAAUCCCGAUGAAAAUCGGGAGGAGGCCCGAAUCCGUGAGCCGUUCAAAACUCUGGAAUGAGCUGUGGUAAGGAGUGAAAAGCUAAUCGUGUCUGGGAAUAGCUGGUUCUCCCCGAAAUAGCUCUAGGGCUAGCGGUCUCUUUAUCCUUAUGGGGGUAGAGCACUGGAUGGUGUGUACAGGGCGAAAGCUCAGCACACCAAUCAAACUCCGAAUACCAUUAAGGUUAAAAGAGGCUAGUCAGACUACGGGGGCGAAGCUCCGUGGUCAAGAGGCAAAGAAUCCGGAUCGCCGUCUAAGGUCCCUAAAUAUUGGUUAAGUGUUGUCUCAAGGUGGUGAUUUGCCAUAGACAGCUAGGAGGUUGGCUCAGAGGUAGCCAUCCUUUAAAGAGUGUGUAACAACUCACUAUCUGAACUCAGUUUUUAUAACUGAGGUGGUGAAUCGCGCCGAAAAUUUAUCAGGACUAAAACCAAUUACCGAAGACGCGGCUCCUUCCUUUUUAUAAAAGGAGGGGGGGUAGGGGAGCGUUUCCUAAGCGUUGAAGCUUGUGGCGCGAGCCCAGGUGGAGUUUAGGGAAGUGAGAAUGCCGGCAUGAGUAACCUAAAAGUCCGAUGAGAACUCGGACCCCCGAAAAUCCAAGGUUUCCUUGGCAAUGAAAGUCAGCCAAGGGUUAGGCGGCCCUAAGGCAAUGGCGAAAGCCGUAGCUAAUGGAUAGUCGGUUAAUAUUCCGACCCUUCUGUUUUGAUCGAAGGAGUGACGAAGGAAAUAAGAUUAAGCGUCUUAAUGGAUUGACGUUCUCGAUCAUAGAGAUGUAUUCGAGGCAAAACCCGAAUACUGCUUUAAAUAGCAAGUCUCGAAUUAGAGAAAAGGUUUAGUUUUACUAAACCAAUUUAAUCGAAGAGCCUUCCGAGAAAAACUUCUAAGAUUAUCAAAACAGAAUCCGUACCGUAAUCCGACACAGGUGGAUGAGGCGAGGAGCCUCAGGGGAACGGGUGAUUCCUCGUUAAGGAACUCGGCAAAAAAGCGGGCGUAACUUCGGGAUAAGCCCUCCCAGCUCUUUUGGACAAUGAUCGCGUUUUAUUAGUUGAUUGAUGUUUUUCCUACAUUAAUUUAACUUAUAAAACGUUGUUAUUGUCCAAAAGGGCUGGGCGCAGCGAAAGUUUCCCUGGCGACUGUUUACCAAAAACACAGGUCCCUGCGAACCCGUAAGGGGAUGUAUAGGGGCUGAUGCCUGUCCGAUGCCAGAAGGUUAAGCUUGGCGGUCAAUUGAUUUUAUCAGUUGGCUGACUGAGUUAAGCCCUGGUCAAUGACAGCCGUAACUAUAACGGUUCUAAGGU